rnacentral:lncRNA from 10 species
GAAACACAGGGAUGAGCAGUAGGACUCUGAGGGAGGUAUGGGGAAGCUCUAGGCGCAUCUGCUCGCCUUGGCCUCCCAGAGUACUGGGAUUAUAGGCGUGAGCCGCCGCACCCAGCCAAUAUACCAUUAUCUUAAUAAAGACCUUCAGAGAGCCAACUCUAAUGCAUUUGUUAUGCUAUAGGUAUCAUCAAGCUAGUCUCUCCUGAGUGCCUGCACCUGACCCAUCAGUAUUAAUAUGGAGUGUCCAAACUAGGACAAUUUUGAGUGAAAGGGGAAAAAAAUAAUUACACCUAGGUAGCAGGUGUAAGCCAGAACUGUCCUGGGCAAAUGGACGUAUGAGUAGGUGGUUGAAGGGGUAGGAGUUCAGAAUGAAGGUUGGCAAAGAGGCUAAGGACAUUGUACACUGUGCUGGGGUUGGCACCAAACACUGAGGCUUGUGCAGACUCCCCAGCCUGUCCAGCUUUCCUUGAGGCGAUCCUUGCAGAGACAAAAAGACAACUCCCCACAGAACCAUCUGGAAGGCCCUGUCCCUGGGCUUCUAAGGGGCCCAGAUGUUUAGAUCCAAUUUCAGCAGACCGUGUAGGAGAGACCUGUGGAGUGAGCCAGUGAGUGGAUCCCCCAACUAAUUCCAGGAUAUUAGCAAGGCCUCCAGGAAUGAGUUACUUCCUUUUGCCACCAGCAAGUGAAGUCUCCAAAAGCAAAACCUUUUUCAAGAUGAUCAGCUUAGCCAGGCACGGUGGCUUACACCUGUAAUCCCCAGCAUUCUGGGAGGCUGAGGAGGGUGGAUCACCUGACAUCAGGAGUUCAAGACCAGCCUGGCCAACAUGGUGAAACCUGGUCUCUACUAAAAAUACAAAAAUUAGCUGGGUGUGGUGGUGUGCACCUGUAAUCCUAGCUACUUGGGUGGCUGAGGCAGGAGAAUCGCUUAAACCCCGAAGGCAGAGGUUGUAGUGAGCUGAGAUCGCACCACUACAUUCCAGCCUGGGAGACAGAGCAAGACUCCAUCUCAGAAAAAAAAAAAAGAAAAAAGGAAAAAAUCAGCUUGCUUGUGUUUGUCCUGCAUGUCUUUAAACCUUGACCCCUGCGUGGUCUAUGCUGUGGCUAAAAAGUAGUAGACUGAGAUGCUGACGACGACACACAGGCUUUAGGCCAAAGGCCCUGGCUCCAUCGGUAUGAGUACUGUGGCCCUGGGCCAGUCACUGCCUGCUUCCUUUAAGUGGGGCCUUCAUACUCACCAGGAAAGGCUGCCGAUGAGGAUUAGGGGUACCAGGCAGUCCCUGGUAGGGCUGAUUGAGCUUGGUAAAGCAUAGUUGCUAUUAUGACAUAGCGGCUGUUAGUCCCUUAGUUAAUCUAGUAUGUGCCCGCAUUGCUGGUGAGACACAGGGGGCAGACCUCUGUUGGCUCUCCAGGUGGUCAAAUAAAGGUGCAGAAAAGCAAACAGCCCUUUGCCCAGCACUCCUUCUUUAAUAAAUCACUGCUUAGUUCCUGUAGAAGAUUCCAGACUUUGGAAAUACUCACUGGAAAUUUACCCUAAUUAUCUAUUUAAAAAUGGCUUUCUAAACAGAGUGCUGAGAUAAGAUGGCCCAUCUCCGUGUUUAAGCAUUUCUAAAGUCUCGUUUGUUUAUCAACACGCCCACAAGCUAUGAAGCUACUAAGGUGACUGACCGGUUCCUUGAAACUGGGCUUCAUUUACAAGUUACUAGGUGCACUUUAGGAGGGCAAUUUCAGGUGUUUAACCAAAACCUGACAAACAUAUGCAUCUGAGAUUCUGUCCUUAGAAUAUAGUCACUAGCGCAGUCAUGUCCUCACAAUGAGUGAAAUAGUGAAAAGUUGGACACAAUCUAAAUGUCCAGGCGUGGAUUGUUAAAUUUGCUUAUUUUAAAAUUUGGUUUAUCCAUACAGUUGAUCUUUGAACAACAUGAGUUUGACCUGCAUGGAUCCACAUAUACGUGAAUUUCCUUCCGCCUCUACCACUCCUGAGACAGCGAGACAAACCUCUCCUCUUCCUCUUCCUCUUCCUCCUCAGCCUACUCAGUGUGAAGACCUUUAUGAUGAUCCAUGUCCACUGAAUGAAUAGUAAGUAUAUGUUCUGUUCCUUACAAUUUUCUUAUAACAUUCUCUUUCCUCUAGCUGACUCUAGUGUAAGAAUACAGUAUAUAAUACAUAUACAGAAUGUGUAUUAAUCAACUGUUUAUGUUAUCAGCAAGGCUUCUGAUGAACAGUAGGCUAUUAAUAGUUAAGUUUUGUGGGGGCCAAAAGUCAUGCACAGAUUUUCGGCUGUGUGAGGGGUCAGUGCCCCCAAUCGCCGCACUGACCAAAGGUCAAUUGUAUUUUGAAUAUUAAGCUACCGUUAAAAAUUGAUAAAUGAGACUUCAAAUUUUUUUUUCUUUUUCUUUUUUUUUUUUUUGAGACGGAGUCUCGCUCUGUCACCCAGGCUGGAGUGCAGUGGCGCGAUCUUGGCUCACUGCAAGCUCCGCCUCCCAGGUUCACGCCAUUUUCCUGCCUCAGCCUCCCGAGUAGCUGGGACUACAGGCGCCCGCCACCACGCCCAGCUAAUUUUUUGUAUUUUUAGUAGAGAUGGGGUUUUUUAGUAGAGACGGGGUUUCACUGUGUUAGCCAGGAUGGUCUCGAUCUCCUGACCUCGUGAUCCGCCCGCCUCGCCCUCUCAAAGUGCUGGGAUUACAUGCGUG